rnacentral:rRNA from 1 species
CUCAUUAAAUCAGUUAUAGUUUAUUUGAUGGUUCCUUUAUUUUACUACUUGGAUAACCGUAGUAAUUCUAGAGCUAAUACAUGCAAAAAGUCCUGACUGGGGGGUUUCGGCUCUCCGGAAGGGAUGUAUUUAUUAGAUAAAAACCGAUGCAGGGUGGCUUGCUGCCCUGGACCCUUCGGUGAUUCAUAAUAACUCUAUCGAAUCGCAUAAUG